UGCACUAACUGUUACUGUAUACAUCACUUACAUAAAGCUCUUAUCUUAUUCUGGGUGACUUUAAUAAGUGACCAAUUCAACACUUUCAUAUUCCCCACCCCAGGCCCUAUCGUUGCCCGAAGAGAAGUACCCCAUCUUUACCUUCGUGGAGGGCCAGGCCCAGGACUAUGGACUGGUGGGCCACAGCUCCUCCUAUCCUCACUAUGACACCUCCCCUGGCCCUGCCCACAUGCUGCCCCAAGGCAAGCUCAGCAGGAGCAACAACAUGGGCAGCUCUGACGACUUUGUCUUCUUAUCUCCAAGGCCGUAGGGAUUUGGGAUGGGGCCUCUGACUUAAUUUUGGGAACAAUAACAACUGGAAACACGGAGCCUGUUUGACAUGCUACAUGACAGGGGUCACUAGUAGUGGAAGACAAGGUACUCAGCCCUCUUCUCUCUGACUUGUGUUAUAAUACUGCUGUAAAAAUUUUAAAUUAAUAUCUGUUUUGUAAGAUUUAUUAAGUGUGUGUGUGUGUGUGUGUGGAAAUGAUUUGUGUGUGAACUGAAGCUGUUGGUGUGUUGAUUUGUUGUUAUGUUCACAUUCCUCUACAGUACUCUUAUAUUCCCUAUGCCGUUUUAAUUCAGUGUCAUGGCUAUAGUACUAUAUUCAUACUACAUGGCUAUAUGAAUUUCAUUGCAGCAUUCAACCCUCUCUUUAGUUGUGCUGUCCUUUGACACACUAUUCAGGCAACAGUAAAUGACCUGGGCUGGGCUCCCUACCUAACUUCGCUCACUGUUUUCCAGACCUGGGUUCAAAUAGUAUUUGCUUUUUCCCCCCUUCCAAAAGGCACUUACUUUUGGGACUAUUCUUUUUGCCCUAGCAAGCUCAGAAAACCAAUACUAAUUGAACCCCAGGUCUGCUACACUCUCACACUAUUUCAUCAGCUCUCUCUUGUCAAGUAGUCUACCAGUAUCAACUUGCAACACACUAACAGGAAUCCACUGUUACAACAAUUGCCCCUUUUGUGUAAUGUGUUACACUAGCUCCUAUCUGGAUGAUGGGAAAUGAUCCAUUUACCAAGAGGCUAUGUCCAAAAUGACACCCUAUUCCCUACAUCGUGCACUACAUAGAGAAUAGGAUGUCUUUUUGGAUGAAGACAGUUUUUGGUUGUAGUGAGACUUGUUGAAUGAAUGAUUCUGAACUCUAUUCCUUUUAGGGUACUCAUAAUGUUUUUAACAAGGUGGUGCUGCUGAGUACUGGCAGGGGGAUGCCUCACUUUGGACUCAGAUUUCUUUACAUUUUUGAACAUGUGUAACUUCAAUUUAUUAUGGUAGAGUUAAAAGCCUUGAACUUUGGAGACCUGCAUAUUAAUAUCUUAUCCAGGGCUGUUCAAUUCUGGUCCUGGAGGGCCAAAACACUUCUGUUUUUUUGUUUCUACCUGGUAGUUAAUUGCACUCACCUGGUGUCUCAGCCAGGUCUCUCCUUAUUAGAAGGAGAGGAUGAAACCAGGACUGACGUUGAACAGCCCUGAUCUAAGCAUUUAACCCCCCCCCAAGUUAGAUAUCAAAGUCACAAGCUCCCUCAACCCCAAAAUAAAAUGAAAUAGUCUGGGAAGUGGUUAAAACACUGUUGAUUUGGAUGCUUGAUCUCACAUUUUAAUUAGGCUGCUGACCUGUGUGCAACAGAUAUCCUCUAAGGGGCAAAUCUUGACUUUCACUUAACCUGAAUGUUCACUGAUCAUUCAUUGAAGUCAAUGGGAGAAUAAGUGAGAAUGUGAGGUUAGCGAGUUAGGAUUCACCCCAGUAAUCUGUGUAUUUCACUCUUGUCCAUGUGUAUAUCUCAUAAAGGUGACAUUUAUUUUCUAAAUAAAGUGAAGAAUUGGCAUAUGUAGAAGUCUUAAAUGUGCUAAUGACCACCCUAAUAAGGGACUGCAUUCAUGUGGACAACAUGACUUUGUAAAACUGUUGUAUAGAAUGUUAUUAAAGGUAACUUUUUUUUGUA